rnacentral:tRNA from 1 species
GGAGAGAUGGCCGAGUGGUUGAAGGCGCCGCUCUCGAAAAGCGGUAGGGGCGCAAGUUCCUCGAGGGUUCGAAUCCCUCUCUCUCCGCCA